GGGCUUCGGCCCUGAGUAAGUGGCGCACGGGUGAGUAACACGUGGGUAAUCUGCCUCUGAGAUUGGGAUAACCUGUCGAAAGACGGGCUAAUACCAAAUAAGACCACGACUUCUUCGGGAGUUGAGGUCAAAGGUAGCCUCUAUUUAUAAGCUAUCGCUCGGAGAUGGGCCCGCGCACCAUUAGCUAGUUGGUGGGGUAAUGGCCUACCAAGGCAAAGAUGGUUAGCUGGUCUGAGAGGAUGAUCAGCCACACUGGAACUGAGACACGGUCCAGACUCCUACGGGAGGCAGCAGUGGGGAAUAUUGCGCAAUGGGCGAAAGCCUGACGCAGCAACGCCGCGUGAGUGAUGAAGGCCUUCGGGUCGUAAAGCUCUGUCGGAGGGAACGAAUGCUUUUGAGGUUAAUAGCCUCAGGAGGUGACGGUACCCUCAAAGGAAGCACCGGCUAACUCUGUGCCAGCAGCCGCGGUAAUACAGAGGGUGCAAGCGUUGUUCGGAAUUAUUGGGCGUAAAGGGCGUGUAGGCGGUCUGCUAAGUCAUGUGUGAAAUCCCUCGGCUUAACCGAGGAACGACGCAUGAAACUGGCAAGCUAGAGUACCAAAGAGGGGGGUGGAAUUCCCGGUGU
rnacentral:rRNA from 1 species